AAAUUGAAGAGUUUGAUCAUGGCUCAGAUUGAACGCUGGCGGCAGGCCUAACACAUGCAAGUCGAGCGGUAGCACAGAGAGCUUGCUCUCGGGUGACGAGCGGCGGACGGGUGAGUAAUGUCUGGGAAACUGCCUGAUGGAGGGGGAUAACUACUGGAAACGGUAGCUAAUACCGCAUAACGUCGCAAGACCAAAGUGGGGGACCUUCGGGCCUCAUGCCAUCAGAUGUGCCCAGAUGGGAUUAGCUGGUAGGUGGGGUAACGGCUCACCUAGGCGACGAUCCCUAGCUGGUCUGAGAGGAUGACCAGCCACACUGGAACUGAGACACGGUCCAGACUCCUACGGGAGGCAGCAGUGGGGAAUAUUGCACAAUGGGCGCAAGCCUGAUGCAGCCAUGCCGCGUGUGUGAAGAAGGCCUUCGGGUUGUAAAGCACUUUCAGCGGGGAGGAAGGCGGUGAGGUUAAUAACCUCACCGAUUGACGUUACCCGCAGAAGAAGCACCGGCUAACUCCGUGCCAGCAGCCGCGGUAAUACGGAGGGUGCAAGCGUUAAUCGGAAUUACUGGGCGUAAAGCGCACGCAGGCGGUCUGUCAAGUCGGAUGUGAAAUCCCCGGGCUCAACACUGGGAACUGCAUUCGAAACUGGCAGGCUAGAGUCUUGUAGAGGGGGUAGAAUUCCGGUGUAGCGGUGAAAUGCGUAGAGAUCUGGAGGAAUACCGGUGGCGAAGGCGGCCCCCUGGACAAAGACUGACGCUCAGGUGCGAAAGCGUGGGGAGCAAACAGGAUUAGAUACCCUGGUAGUCCACGCUGUAAACGAUGUCGAUUUGGAGGUUGUGCCCUUGAGGCGUGGCUUCCGGAGCUAACGCGUUAAAUCGACCGCCUGGGGAGUACGGCCGCAAGGUUAAAACUCAAAUGAAUUGACGGGGGCCCGCACAAGCGGUGGAGCAUGUGGUUUAAUUCGAUGCAACGCGAAGAACCUUACCUGGUCUUGACAUCCACAGAACUUUCCAGAGAUGGAUUGGUGCCUUCGGGAACUGUGAGACAGGUGCUGCAUGGCUGUCGUCAGCUCGUGUUGUGAAAUGUUGGGUUAAGUCCCGCAACGAGCGCAACCCUUAUCCUUUGUUGCCAGCGGUUAGGCCGGGAACUCAAAGGAGACUGCCAGUGAUAAACUGGAGGAAGGUGGGGAUGACGUCAAGUCAUCAUGGCCCUUACGACCAGGGCUACACACGUGCUACAAUGGCAUAUACAAAGAGAAGCGACCUCGCGAGAGCAAGCGGACCUCAUAAAGUAUGUCGUAGUCCGGAUUGGAGUCUGCAACUCGACUCCAUGAAGUCGGAAUCGCUAGUAAUCGUAGAUCAGAAUGCUACGGUGAAUACGUUCCCGGGCCUUGUACACACCGCCCGUCACACCAUGGGAGUGGGUUGCAAAAGAAGUAGGUAGCUUAACCUUCGGGAGGGCGCUUACCACUUUGUGAUUCAUGACUGGGGUGAAGUCGUAACAAGGUAACCGUAGGGGAACCUGCGGUUGGAUCACCUCCUUA
rnacentral:rRNA from 1 species